CCCAGGGCGGGUGUUUCCAAACAGGACAUUCGGGAGCAGAUCUGGGACUACAUGGAAUCACAUAAUAUAGCUGACUUUCCCCGGCCUGUCCAUCAUAGGAUUCCCAACUUCAAGGGCGCUUCUCGGGCCGCUGAGCACUUCCCACGCUUGCAGGCGUUCAAAAUGGCCAGGACCAUUAAAGUCAACCCUGAUGCUCCCCAGAAAAACGCUCGCUUCUUCGUCCUCGACAGCAAAAAAACAUUGUUGGUUCCAACACCGAGACUGAGAACAGGGUUAUUUAAUAGGAUCACACCACCCCCUGGGGCAACUAAAGACAUCCUGAGAAAAUGUGCCACCUCCCAGGGCGUGAGGGACUACAGUGUUCCUGUGGGCUUGGACGCCAGGGUCCUCGUGGACUUAGUGGUGGUGGGCUCCGUGGCCGUUUCCGAAAAAGGCUGGAGAAUUGGGAAGGGAGAAGGUUAUGCUGACCUUGAAUAUGCCAUGAUGGCGUCGAUGGGAGCAGUCAGCCAGGGGACGCCAGUGGUCACCAUCGUCCACGACUGCCAGGUCGUUGACAUACCUGAAGCGCUCCUUGAGGAUCACGACCUCACCGUGGACUAUAUUCUCACUCCAACCAGAGUCAUCGCCACGGGGUGUGAGCGCCCAAAGCCAACAGGAAUCACGUGGUCUAAGAUCAGCUGUGCGAUGAUGGGAAGAAUCCCAAUACUCAGAAGCCUUCGCUCCCGAGAGAAGCAGGCCGGGAGAGACGUCACGCUUAAGGAUGAGCACCCACACCUAGAAGCCCACAGCCAGCACGCAGCUCCGCCAGGCGCUGUAAGGAGACCCGGGGACCCAGCCCAGCCGGAGGCAGGCUUCCCGCAGGGAGAGGAUGUGCCUUCCGACACUGUUUACGUGGGGAACCUCCCCCGGGACACGCGAGUGAGUGAGCUGAAGAGAGCCCUCCGAGAGCGGGGCGCAGCCCCACUGCGGCUCACCUGGCAGGGCCCACAGCACAGGGCCUUCCUCCAUUUCCAGGACCCAGCCUCGGCCCAGCAGGCCCUCUCCUGCUUACAGGGCUUACACCUGGGUGCCAACACCCUGAAGGUGGCGCUGGCCCGGCAGCAGAGGGCCAGUGACCCGGCAGGUGGCCAUGCUAGAGAGCCGCACCCAGACCAUUGACCGUCGGUGACAACCUGACCUCCAGAGGCCCGCAUGGUAGGAUGCGGCCCAACUAUUUCUACACGAGCUGCUUUGACCAGGUUCGUUCUUUCUAGGAAGUCACAGCCGCAGGCCCUGCCUCCUGUUGAUCUGACGAGGAGGGAAGUUGACCAGUACACUUCCUACACUCAGGAGGCUGAGCGCCCCAUGGAUUCAGUUCUGUUUAUCAUGGUCCUCAGCCCACUGGAUGGUAUAACCGUGCUGGUUCUCUGGAGAGACCGCAGUUGGGGGGUUUAGGGGACCAAUGAGCAAUAAGCGAGUGGGAGUAAGUGGUGACAGUGGAUUAGAAGAGUCUGAGGCCCCGGCAGGGACCAGACGCAGGAGCACCGUGGGGCAAACCAGGACGCGCUCGUGCCCCAGGACCCUGCCCGGCACUGCUGGAGGGAAAGAUGCAUUCAAAUCGCAGAAGCCAGGUACCUCCGCCUCCUGGGUACAAGCCGCUUUUCUCAACUCAGUCCUGGUGUCGGAAAUGGAGAGCUGGUGCGACAUGGACCCUUGGUGGAGCGGUCUCCCCUCUGUCCUCGCCUUACCUUUCCAGCCCUUCUCCUUUCCCUGGGCUUCGCUCUGCCCUCGGCCAGCGGCCCUGCACAGAGCAGGAAGCGCUGACUCGUAGGAGACAGUGGUUUUAGAAACUGAGUCAUGCAGGUCUGUAUCACAGGCAGAGUCCGCAAGUGCUCUCGCACUCCCAUUUACCUAAUGCCUAUGUUCUCCGAGUUCCUCUAGUUCCUUGUUCCUAAAAAACAAGCUGGAUUUUGGCUGAACUAUGCUUUCUAAACAGAAGCACUUUUGCAAUUGAUCCUGGGCACAACGUCAAAAUAAGCAUUUAAGUGUAGGUUUUAUUUUUUCAAAUGUACACUCAUUGGAAAUUUUAUUUUUUCACCAGGGGGCCUUACUGUGUAUUUUAAGUACAUUAUUAUGCCUCAAGAGGCCAGGCCUUGCACGAACUUUCAAGAAAAUAUUCUUAAGGUACUCAGUCUCCCUUGGAAAAAACAUUUCCUUUUUGGUUUUACAAUGAAAAUACUGUGGAGACUUCGGAAAGAAAAUCUAUCCAAAUAGACAGAUAUUUCUCUAAGAAAAUCUAUCCAAAUAGGUAUUUCUCUAAGAAAAUCUAUCCAAAUAGGUAUUUUUCUAGCAAAAUGGGACUAUGCAGGAACAACAAAGAAUUGUAAUUCAGGACAUAGGAUCUAGAGGCAAACCGUGUGAAAGUCUUGAGAAAUAAAGGAGAGGAAUGCUCUUUUAUGGACUUGGGAGGAGCUGUUGUAAAGGAAGAGCCCAUUGGAGGAAACUGAAAGAUGGAAGUGUAGUGACUUUUCAUUGGCUGAGCUGUUACUGGGCCAGAAGGAAUCCUUCUUCCUCCUGCUGAGGCAGCAAGUAGAACCAUGCCAUGGGAGAUGUGGGGUGGGUCCCUCCUGUUGGGGUCAGUAGUGUGCAUAGAGUGGCACAUUUGAAAGAACUCUCUUCCAGCUCUGGACUCCACUUUCAACGAGGUUUCACCAUCCUCAGAUUUGUUCAUUAAAUGCAGGCUCCUUUUCCAAGCUGUCAUGAAUAAAAUGAGAGUAGACAAAUAUCUUAAAAUGGACCAGGACCUUCCCUGCCUUGGGACCUCUGGGCUUCCUCUCUCUUGGCCUGAACUGUCCACCCUCGUCUGCAGGGCUGGUUUUGUUUUGUCACUAGGCGUUCAGCAGGGAUGUCAGAGGUUGACUCUGGCCACCCAACCCAGAGUAGCGAGCUGAUCAUCCUAACUCCUCACUGUUUCCUUUUGUUUAGUUUUUCUUUUUUCCCAGAAUACCUCUUGUAUUUGUCAUGUUCUUGUUUGGAUUUGUUGACGUUUUCACUGUUGACUAGCACUCCAGAACAGGAAAUGUGUCACUGCCCAUCUUUUUCACUCCUGCUGUACCCUGGCUGUGAACAAGUCCUGGCAAAUACAUAGCAGUUCGGGAAACUAACAUGUGGAUGGAUUCACCCAAGACAGAGAGGGAAAGGAGAGCAUGAUGAUACCGCCCGAAGCCCUGUGUCCAGUUGUGCAUACGCCAGCCUGCCGUGGACGGUGUUACACUCAUCAAUAGUGGUCCCUCUUGGGAUUCCUGCUUGGAGAGAGGAGGAUGCCAGCACUGCUCCCUGGGCCCUUGUCUACAGAUCUGAACAGACAAUAAGGAACCUCCAGUCAUUGAGGAAAACCAGCAUCUUGAAACAGUAUCUCUCCAUUGUGGAAAUGGCAAUACAGGAAUCAGAAGGUAAUUAGAAGGCCAUCAUAGCCAUUACAAAGAGAAUAAACUGGUAAGGAAAAAAAGCAAUUCUUAGGAGUUAAAAACACCAUAAAAUAAAAAGUAGUCACACUGCAGGCAGAAUAGACGCAAAUACACUUAGUUGAGAGAUGAGCCACAUGAUUCUUCCUGGAACUAGCACAAAGACGAUAGAGGUGAAAAGAAUGAAAUGUUGGAGAAAGUAGACAAAACUUACUUCAGCUAAAGAGGAUUUUAUUUCAUGUCGAACAGUCCUCAAAAUCCAAAACGGGAAGCAUAUAGAUCAGCAACCUUCCCAUAUAGUAUUAGUAACUUACCGAAAAUUUUGUUUUUUAUGCAGUAGCAACCAAAACUAAUAACUUGGGGGUACACCUAAAGAACAGUCCAGGGGUCACAUGGCUAAAAUUAUAAAGUUUUUCUGAAAAAGAUGAAAGACCUGAAUAAAGAGGCAUGCUGUGCUCUAGAUGAAAAGUUUCAGUAUUAUAAAGUUAUUAUUUCUCCAUGUAUUAAGAUAUUCUAUACGUGACCUUGCAAAAUCCCAACGGAUGUUUUCAUGGGGCUUGAUAAAGCGGAUGUCAAAACCUACUCUAAAGCGUCAGUGCUUAAAGCAGCAUGGUACUGGCGAAUCGGAGCACCAGUGGAACAGUUUCUGAGCGGGUGGGAUUCUAGAGUAUAAGAGUAAUCUCAAAGGGGGGAGGGCUUGCUUCUUAAGAAAUGGAAUGAGAGCUACUAGCUGGUGUUUUGAAGGGUGAAUAGAGCAAUGGAUUUCAUACCACACAUCAGAAUAAAAUCCAGCUAAUUUAAUAGA